ACGAAGGGGGCGAGCGUUGUUCGGAGUUACUGGGCGUAAAGGGCGCGUAGGCGGCGAUCCAAGUUAGGCGUGAAAGCCCCGGGCUUAACCUGGGAAUUGCGCUUAAGACUGGACUGCUUGAGUGCGGGAGAGGUGAGUGGAAUUCCCAGUGUAGAGGUGAAAUUCGUAGAUAUUGGGAAGAACACCAGUGGCGAAGGCGGCUCACUGGCCCGCAACUGACGCUGAGGCGCGAAAGCGUGGGGAGCAAACAGG
rnacentral:rRNA from 1 species